rnacentral:piRNA from 1 species
UGCUCUGAGCAGGGUUCUGGGUCU